rnacentral:rRNA from 1 species
UGACGAGUGGCGGACGGGUGAGUAAUGUCUGGGAAACUGCCCGAUAGAGGGGGAUAACUACUGGAAACGGUAGCUAAUACCGCAUAACCUCGUAAGAGCAAAGUGGGGGACCUUCGGGCCUCACGCUAUCGGAUGUGCCCAGAUGGGAUUAGCUAGUAGGUGGGGUAAUGGCUCACCUAGGCGACGAUCCCUAGCUGGUCUGAGAGGAUGACCAGCCACACUGGAACUGAGACACGGUCCAG